UACGGAGGGUGCAAGCGUUGUUCGGAUUUACUGGGCGUAAAGGGCGCGUAGGCGGCUUGAUAAGUCAGUCGUGAAAGCCCGGGGCUCAACCCCGGAAGUGCGAUUGAAACUAUCAGGCUUGAGUAUGGUAGAGGGAAGUGGAAUUCCAGGUGUAGCGGUGAAAUGCGUAGAUAUCUGGAGGAACACCGGUGGCGAAGGCGACUUCCUGGACCAAUACUGACGCUGAUGCGCGAAGGUGUGGGGAGCAAACAGGAUUAGAUACCCUGGUAGUCCACACAGUAAACGGUGAUCACUAGGUGUUGCGGGUAUUGACCCCUGCAGUGCCGGAGUUAACACAAUAAGCACUCCGCCUGGGGAGUACGGCCGCAAGGUUGAA
rnacentral:rRNA from 1 species